rnacentral:rRNA from 1 species
ACGAACGCUGGCGGCAUGCCUUACACAUGCAAGUCGAACGCGAAAGCACUUUCGGGUGUUAGUAGAGUGGCAAACGGGUGAGUAACGCGUGGGAAUCUACCUUUAGGUGCGGAAUAGCCUCGGGAAACUGGGAUUAAUACCGCAUGAUGUCUUCGGACCAAAGAUUUAUCGCCUAAAGAUGAGCCCGCGUCAGAUUAGCUAGUUGGUGGGGUAAAAGCCUACCAAGGCAACGAUCUGUAGCUGGUCUGAGAGGACGAUCAGCCACAUUGGGACUGAGACACGGCCCAAACUCCUACGGGAGGCAGCAGUGGGGAAUAUUGGACAAUGGGCGCAAGCCUGAUCCAGCAAUGCCGCGUGAAUGAUGAAGGCCUUAGGGUUGUAAAGUUCUUUUAGUGGGGAAGAUAAUGACGGUACCCACAGAAAAAGCACCGGCUAACUUCGU